rnacentral:rRNA from 1 species
GGCGAACGCUGGCGGCAGGCCUAACACAUGCAAGUCGAACGAACCCUUCGGGGUUAGUGGCGGACGGGUGAGUAACACGUGGGAACGUGCCUUUAGGUUCGGAAUAACUCAGGGAAACUUGUGCUAAUACCGAAUGUGCCCUUCGGGGGAAAGAUUUAUCGCCUUUAGAGCGGCCCGCGUCUGAUUAGCUAGUUGGUGAGGUAAUGGCUCACCAAGGCGACGAUCAGUAGCUGGUCUGAGAGGAUGACCAGCCACAUUGGGACUGAGACACGGCCCAAACUCCUACGGGAGGCAGCAGUGGGGAAUCUUGCGCAAUGGGCGAAAGCCUGACGCAGCCAUGCCGCGUGGAUGAUGAAGGUCUUAGGAUUGUAAAAUCCUUUCACCGGUGAAGAUAAUGACUGUAGCCGGAGAAGAAGCCCCGGCUAACUUCGUGCCAGCCGCCGCGGUAAUAC